rnacentral:rRNA from 1 species
UACAGAGGUCUCAAGCGUUGUUCGGAUUCAUUGGGCGUAAAGGGUGCGUAGGCGGCGCGGUUAAGUCGGGUGUGAAAUCUCGGAGCUUCGAACUCCGAAACUGCAUUUGAUACUGCGGUGCUUGAGGACUGGAGGAGGAGACUGGAAUUUACGGUGAGCAGUGAAUGCGUAGAGAAUGUGAAGGAAGACCAUGGCGAAGGGCGGGUCCUCUGGACAGUUCCUGACGCUGAGGCACGAAGGCCGGGGAGCAAACGGG